ensembl:rRNA 5S_rRNA 5S ribosomal RNA
GCUUACGUCCACACCGGCCUGAGUACGCCUGAUCUCGUCCGAUCUCGGAAGCUAAGCAGGGUCGGGCCUGGUUAGUACUUGGAUGGGAGACCGCCUGGGAAUACCAGGUGCUGUAAGCU